rnacentral:rRNA from 1 species
CAAAGGUAGCAUAAUCAUUUGUCUAUUAAUUGUAGACCUGUAUGAAAGGCAAAAUGAGGGUUUAACUGUCUCUUAUAGUAAAUCAAUUAAACUGAUCUCUUAGUAAAAAAGCUAGGAUAUCCUCAUAAGACCAGAAGACCCUGUGAAGCUUUAACUAAACUAUUAAACCCAGUAAUAACUACUUUCGGUUGGGGCGACCUUGGAAAAAAAUAGAACUUCCAAACACAGUGACUAUAAACCACACUAUCACGGCCCACAAGCCAAAUUAGACCCAGCACAGCUGAUAAUUGAACCAAGUUACUCCAGGGAUAACAGCGCCAUCUUCUUCAAGAGUCCAUAUCAAAAAGAAGGUUUACGACCUCGAUGUUGGAU